rnacentral:sRNA from 1 species
GUCGCAGGAGGGAAGGAGCGAACCGGAGAGCGUCGUCCUGAGAGGAGUGAAGGCGGCAAAAUGGCGGACCGCUUCUCCCGCUUCAACGAAGACCGAGACUUUCAGGGUAAUCACUUUGAUCAGUAUGAGGAAGGACACUUGGAAAUUGAACAAGCAUCACUUGACAAGCCUAUAGAAUCGCAGUUGGCCCAUAUUAGCUAAGCAGCCAUGAUCUGGUUUGUAUUGCACGGUCUGCCUUUUUUUAAUUUCUUCUCUAGGGUUUCUUUCUCCCCACCUCCCCUUCUUAUUUCUGUCUUUCUGGUCCAGUGAACACUGCAUAUAGUACCUUCUGUCUUAAUGUGCUGGCAUGAUGCUAGACUUAGGCAUGGCAGUAAUUGAUGACGCAUGUGAUAAUGCUGCAGAGGGAGAAUUCUCAUCUGAUAUUUCACUGAAAGCCUAGUCUUGUGUUUUGACAUAAGGAUAAAAUGCCAAGCCCACUUUGCUAAGUUAAAAAUCACUGGUUUUAGGCCGGGCGCAGUGGCUCAACGCCUGUAAUCCCAGCACUUUGGGAGGCCGAGGUGGGUGGAUCACGAGGUCAGGAGAUCGAGACCAUCCUGGCUAACACGGUGAAACCCCAUCUCUACAAAAAAUGUAAAAAAUUAGCCGGGCAU